GACAGAGGGUUUAACACCACCACAUCAACAGAGCCAGGACAGAGGGUUUAACACCACAUCAACAGAGCCAGGACAGAGGGUUUAACACCACAUCAACAGAGCCAGGAGAGGUUUAACACCACAUCAACAGAGCCAGGAGAGGUUUAACACCACAUCAACAGAGCCAGGACAGAGGGUUUAACACCACAUCAACAGAGCCAGGACAGAGGGUUUAACACCACAUCAACAGAGCCAGGAGAGGUUUAACACCACAUCAACAGAGUCAGGAGAGGUUUAACACCACAUCAACAGAGCCAGGACAGAGGGUUUAACACCACAUCAACAGAGCCAGGAGAGGUUUAACACCACAUCAACAGAGCCAGGAGAGGUUUAACACCACAUCA